rnacentral:rRNA from 1 species
AUGAGGCAGCGUUUCCGGAUUUUUGGGUUCAAGGGUGCGUAGGCGGCCUGUUAGUCAGGNGUGAAAGACGGUAGCUCAACUAUCGCAGUGCCCUUGNAUACUGAUGGGCUUGAAUGGACUAGAGGUAGGCGGAAUGAGACAAGUAGCGGUGAAAUGCAUAGAUAUGUCUCAGAACACCGAUUGCGAAGGCAGCUUACUAUGGUCUUAUUGACGCUGAGGCACGAAAGCGUGGGGAUCAAACAGGAUUAGAUACCCUGGUAGUCCACGCCCUAAACGAUGAACACUCGCUGUUGGCGAUACACAGUCAGCGGCUAAGCGAAAGCGUUAAGUGUUCCACCUGGGGAGUACGYUCGCAAGAGUUGAAACUUCAAAGGAAUUGRACGGGGGCCCGCACAAAGYCGGRGGAGCAUUGKUGGUUUAAUUUCGWUGAGUACGCGAGGGAACCCUUDACCCCGGGGCUUGRAACGUUAGUGAAUCMRUUUAGAGAUAAGAUSGAGUGGAGCAAUCACCACGRWACUAGGUUGCUGCAUGGCUGUCGUCAGCUCGUSCCGUGAGGUGGUUGGGUUUAAGUCCCGCAACGAGCGCAACCCCUAUGUUUUAGUUGCCAKCACGUUAUGGUGGGGACUCUAAACAGACUGCCUGUGCAAACAGAGAGGAAGGAGGGGACGACGUCAAGUCAUCAUGGCCCUUACGUCCGGGGCUACACACGUGMUACAAUGGAUGGUAGCAGAGGGCAGCUACAUAGCAAUAUGAUGCGAAUCUCACAAAGCCAUUCACAGUUCGGAUUGGGGUCUGCAACUCGACCCCAUGAAGUUGGAUUCGCUAGUAAUCGCGUAUCAGCAAUGACGUCGGUGAAUACGUUCCCGGGCCUUGUACACACCGCCCGUCAAGGCCAUGGAAGUUGGGGGUACNCUAAAAUAAUUAACCGGGAAGGAGCGUCUUAGGUAGACCGAUAAUNUGGU